GUGUCCCAGGUUUGGAAUCUCAAGACCAACGCGGUGGGGGAGGGGGAAUGAGUCGAAGGGGCUGGAGUUGUUUCUCCGAGCGGGCUCCAGGAAUAACAGACGGAAACUAUUUUGGAAGUAAAAGAGAGUAAAAUGAUAUAAUCCUACCUCUGCGGGCAUCUACGGCGGCAACCCCCAAUCGUUUGGCUCCCCAACGGCUCAGGCACAGCGAACGACCAAAGGGCAGCGCCAUCUUACGCCACGGAUGAACAGGGCACGCCCCCCGCCCCGCCCCGCCCCCCUCCGCACUGGCUGAGACCCCUCCAUCUGCCCGCCUGCUCCCCUGGCACUUUGUGCGCGAGAGGCAGCAGCGCAGUGUGAUGACGUAAGAGAGCCAGCGCCCCGCAGGGAGUCGCCAUUUUAGUGAAUUCUGUUCUGGUUGCAUCCGGAACAGUUUAUUCAAUUUUUCCGCGGAGAGGAAUGCUGUUCACGUUUUAACUAAAUAGGGCGUUUAGAAAGAUGGUGUAACAAGAUGGUUAAAGGUAUAGAUUUCAGAAUUAAACAAUAAUUGUAUUAUUCGAACCCGGCUCCUCUGUGUGACUGGGCAAAUCACUUAACUUCUGUGAGCCUUAAUGUUAUUUGUAAAACAAAAAUGUCUAGCCGUCAGACCGUAGUAAAAAUUAAACGAGAGAAUUACCUAGGAUACAUCUUGACAAAUAGCAGUCACUGGGUGGAGGAACCCGAGUUUGCUCAAGAUUUCAUCUAAUGCCUUCUCCCCGAAGGCAGAAUCCACUAUCGCCUAUUGGAGAACUCUCAAAAUCUCUACUCCAUAUUUCUCUCCUGAGUUCCAGAUCUGUAUAUCCAAAAGCUUAUUGGACAUUUCUACCUGAAUGUCCCCCAUUCACCUCAAAUUUAACAUGUCUAAAGCUAAUUUCGUUUUUCUACACAGACUGGUGAACUGCAACCCACAACCAGCCCUUUGCCCAGGCCAGAAACCUGGAAGCCCUUCACUUCUUUGUUUCCCUCACUUCACAUAUCUGAUUGUUAUUAAAUCCCUAUCACAUUAUUUUUC